UAGGGAAUCUUCCGCAAUGGGCGAAAGCCUGACGGAGCAACGCCGCGUGAGUGAUGAAGGUCUUCGGAUCGUAAAACUCUGUUAUCAGGGAAGAACAAAUGUGUAAGUAACUGUGCACAUCUUGACGGUACCUGAUCAGAAAGCCACGGCUAACUACGUGCCAGCAGCCGCGGUAAUACGUAGGUGGCAAGCGUUAUCCGGAAUUAUUGGGCGUAAAGCGCGCGUAGGCGGUUUUUUAAGUCUGAUGUGAAAGCCCACGGCUCAACCGUGGAGGGUCAUUGGAAACUGGAAAACUUGAGUGCAGAAGAGGAAAGUGGAAUUCCAUGUGUAACGGUGAAAUGCGCAGAGAUAUGGAGGAACACCAGUGGCGAAGGCGACUUUCUGGUCUGUAACUGACGCUGAUGUGCGAAAGCGUGGGGAUCAAGCAGGAUUAGAUACCCUGGUAGUCCACGCCGUAAACGAUGAGUGCUAAGUGUUAGGGGGUUUCCGCCCCUUAGUGCUGCAGCUAACGCAUUAAGCACUCCGCCUGGGGAGUACGACCGCAAGGUUG
rnacentral:rRNA from 1 species